GUACACUCCUACGGGAGGCAGCAGUGGGGAAUAUUGCACAAUGGGCGCAAGCCUGAUGCAGCGACGCCGCGUGGGGGAUGAAGGCCUUCGGGUUGUAAACUCCUUUCGCUAGGGACGAAGCUUUUUUGUGACGGUACCUAGAUAAGAAGCACCGGCUAACUACGUGCCAGCAGCCGCGGUAAUACGUAGGGUGCGAGCGUUGUCCGGAAUUACUGGGCGUAAAGGGCUCGUAGGUGGUUUGUCGCGUCGUCUGUGAAAUUCUGGGGCUUAACUCCGGGCGUGCAGGCGAUACGGGCAUAACUUGAGUGCUGUAGGGGUAACUGGAAUUCCUGGUGUAGCGGUGAAAUGCGCAGAUAUCAGGAGGAACACCGAUGGCGAAGGCAGGUUACUGGGCAGUUACUGACGCUGAGGAGCGAAAGCAUGGGUAGCGAACAGGAUUAGAAACCCUAGUAGUCCCAU
rnacentral:rRNA from 1 species